rnacentral:rRNA from 1 species
GAUGAACGCUGGCGGCGUGCUUAACACAUGCAAGUCGAACGGAAAGGCCACAGCUUGCUGUGGUACUCGAGUGGCGAACGGGUGAGUAACACGUGGGUGAUCUGCCCUGUACUUCGGGAUAAGCUUGGGAAACUGGGUCUAUUACCGGAUAGGACUCACUUGUGGGUGUGUGGUUGGAAUGCUUUUGCGGUAUGGGAUGAGCUCGCGGCCUAUCAGCUUGUUGGUGGGGUAUUGGCCUACCAAGGCGUCGACGGGUAGCCGGCCUGAGAGGGUGUACGGCCACAUUGGGACUGAGAUACGGCCCAGACUCCUACGGGAGGCAGCAGUGGGGAAUAUUGCACAAUGGGCGCAAGCCUGAUGCAGCGACGCCGCGUGGGGGAUGACGGCCUUCGGGUUGUAAACUCCUUUCGUCAGGGACGAAGCGAAAGUGACGGUACCUGGAUAAGAAGCACCGGCUAACUACGUG